CAGUAGCCGCGGGAAUACGAAGGGGGCUAGCGUUGUUCGGAAUUACUGGGCGUAAAGCGCACGUAGGCGGAUAUUUAAGUCAGGGGUGAAAUCCCGCAGCUCAACUGCGGAACUGCCUUUGAUACUGGGUAUCUUGAGUAUGGAAGAGGUUAGUGGAAUUGCGAGUGUAGAGGUGAAAUUCGUAGAUAUUCGCAGGAACACCAGUGGCGAAGGCGGCUAACUGGUCCAUAACUGACGCUGAGGUGCGAAAGCGUGGGGAGCAAACAGGAUUAGAUACCCGCGUAGUCCCUGUCUCUUAUAA
rnacentral:rRNA from 1 species